rnacentral:lncRNA from 1 species
AAUAAGAAAAAAUUCUCAAAGAAAAUUUCAGGACUUUGUCACUUCAGCCAGGGGAAAAAAAAAAAAAAAAGAAAAAAAAAGAAAAGCUAAGCAGGAUGUUUUUGUUUUGUUUUGUUUUGUUUUUUCCCACUGCUGAGAUGAUGAGUCCAACUAUAUUAGUUUUUAGACCAAUUUGUAUAUAAGCUGCAGCACUUUUUCGGACUUUUUUAAUUUCCUAAUCAUAAAAUGAUAAGAAAACUAGUUUCACUACUUUUGCCAGAUUAGCACUUUAAACAGGAAGGAAUUGCAAUAGAUAAGUAAGACUUAAUGGUGAGUGAUAAAAUUGUAGUAUGCCAAGUUCCUUGAUGGAGAGAGGAAGUUCCUUGUUUCACAGACAUGGAACAUAACUGAAACAAAACUUUUUCAUAUCUGUGAAGGGUAAACAUAUCAUCUUUAGUGCAGGAAUAGCUCUCAGGCAGAUAUGGUCUCUGAAGAAGCGAUAAACUGACCAGAAAAACCAAUGUCAUAGUGCCCUGUUAUUGCCUUGAGGAUCAAAACUCAGGGAUCCAGAUAGGUCAACAAGCGCGCAAGUUAGUUUCUCUGAAAUAACAUUUGCCUAACACUGCUGUUGUCUAGCAAAGAAUUUUAAAGAGGGAUUUACACAGCCUUGCUGAUCUGAAACGCAAGGCUGAUCAGGCCAGCAAUCUCAUUUGAGGGUUAUGCACAGCAGUUCUAGCUCCCUGUGAUGAAGUAGGACCUUUUGAUUAACUUCAGUGGGUUUCAGACAGCUCUUUUUAAAGGAAAACAUGCCCUGGGUUUUAGAGUUUAAAACUCUUUUAAGGUGAGGGCUUUAUCUUGUACUAUACUAUAUUGAACGAAGUGGGAUUCUCCUGACAAGGAUUCUAUUUCUGAAAUAACGUAGACUGAAAAUCAGAAUUUUCAUUCGUUCUGUUCAUAACUCUUCCAGUGUUGGAGCAAAACAUGGAAAACCAACCAACCAAACAAAAAACACACUAAAAGGUUUUGUAACAUAUUGUAACAUCAAUUUAUUCAAAACUGAGUAGGAUUGACUUGAGUCAAAAUAAUUGCUGCAGAGACUUGCAGAAUGGAUGUCUCAGGUAACUAUGAGUCAGGUGUGUAUAUAGAAUAAAUGUCCUUCUAUUUGGACCGAUAGAUCA